CGGCUCCAGGGGGCUGCACCGGCAAAGCAAGCGCGUUCCAGCGAGCUAAAUUAUUCUAACGAGCCUUCAUUGGACCUUUAUAUUAGUUAUGGGCAGGUGUGGAAUUUGCAUAAUGGUUCGUUCGCCGCGGUGUUAAUUACUGUGUCUGAAGUGCCCCGCUAAUGAGAUAACUGCGUGAGGACUUCGGGAAGGAGCGGGAGGAAAGCAGGUGUAAAGUUAAUCAAAGGAGGAGCGCGGCCCGCAUCAAAGCGGGCUUCGGCUGCUGCGGUGAACCGAGCGCUCUGUUCUCGUUAUCUAAUUUAUUGUAAGCUUGUGGCUGCAGUUAACAAAUUCUGGAAGUACCAACACACAAUGAAAACGGAUUUUGAAGUGUGCAAUGAAGAUAGUAAAGGCUAUUUAAGCAGAGAAGACUCUACAGUUGGUCUAAUAAUGGUUUUUUUUGCUAGAAACGCUCAAAGUUAUCCAAUUGAAUGGAAAGCGGCUCAUGCAGGCAAGUUCAGCAUGUUUGGGCAACCUCUGUUAUUAUAGAAAUGGUGCAUGUACAGAACAUAGCAGUUGAAAGCAGCAAGACAGUGUAAU